CUCCACUUCUUCUUGUUCUUCCUAUUCUUUCUCUCUUUGUGAUGGCACAUAUGGCGUGAACUUCCGGUGAGAUUGUUUUUCAUAUUCUUCUUGUUCUUUGUUAUCGUUAUGAUAAUUUUUCAUUUUUUUUUUCUAACAUUGAUUUUAUUUAUUUUUUCAUAGAUAAUUUUCUCCUAUUAAUCUUGUGUUGUUUUCUCUCCACUAGAUCUAUGAGGAGCGAAACAAAAAUUGAUUCGUGGACUAACUUCAUAGGUGUGACUGAAUGGAAAUCAUCAGUGAUCGCUUUUUCUAUUCCUUUGAAGUGCUUUUAUCUAUUUUUCUUGUUGACAAUUUUGAACGUAAUCUCUGAUUUAACGACCAUGAUUUCUUUGAUUAUUAGAUAUAGAUAAAAUUGCGAGCAUAAGAUGACCUGAUUUUGUCUUGUAUUUUAAAAAGGUAUAAAAUAAUGAAAUUUAUAUAUUUUCAGCUUCUUUAUUUAUUAGUGUAGUUAAAUUUAAAUUUAUUUCUUUAAUUUAUAUAAGUAACAUAAUUUUUUUUAUUUGAAUUUGCUGCAUGUCAAAACAUGGUCUAGUAAGUGUCUUGAAAUUUUAUAUACAAUUUCCAGUUAUAUUAGUACUAUGUGGUAUGACUUAUAUAAUAUAUGAAUAUUACUUAUAUAGGUGGAGGAGAAGAAAAGAGGAAGGCAAAUUAAAAACGCGGUGAUUAGAUAGAUUUCCGUUUUUUUGAACAGGUAAGUAUGGAUCUAAUCUAAGAGUAAGUUUGGUUAAGAUUAUUAAAAAACACAUUUUUUUAUAUUUUGACUAAGUUCUGUUUGUGUAUAAAUUUUGUAAAAAUAUAUUUUGUCAAAAAAUUUACUUAUAUGUUGAAAAUAAUUUUUUUUCGUUAAUUAGCUUUUGAAGAAAAACAUUUUUAAUAGAAGAGAAGGUAAUACAAAAUCUCUUUCAUAAUUUUAACCAUACACAAUAGUUUAUGUUAUUCUUUUAUUUUUCACAAGUAGAUUAUAGAUUAUGAUAUUCUUUAAAAUAUCUAAAUUAUUUAAUAUUAAAAUCAGUUUUCUUUUUGAUCUACAUUCUUGCCUUUAUUUUCCUUGAUUAUAUUAAAUAAAGUUUCUAAGAAAGUUUCAUGUUAUUGUAAUAUUCGAAACAUAGUUAUUCAUGAAUUAAUUUAGCGUUUAAAAUGUUAUAUAUAAUGUAUAUCACAUUAAGUAGCAAGUUGUUGACUUUCUCAUUAUGCUGUUAGUAUUUGGGGAGCUUCAUAAAGAAUGAAAUUAAUCACCUUUGGCUUUAAAAGAAAUUUUUUGUUGGAGGUUAAUUGUGUAGACUACUCCAUAAACAAUUAUAGAAAACUUUAAUCGUCGUGAAUACCAAAUUUAUUGAAGAUAUAUAUAAAAAAAUGCCAAUUUAUCACGAUUCAUAUUAAAAAAAUUAAAUAAUAAAAAUUUAUAUAUUAUUAUUUGCUAAAUUUUUUGUAGCCAUAUAUCUCAAAACAUCACGUGUUUGAUUAUCAACCCGUAUGUUCAUUUCAAUUGUCCAAUUCUUUGCUCUUUCUCUCACAGAAAAUAUUUGAGUUUCAAGUGGAGUAACAAACACCUUUUUCUCAAGAUUUUAUUUCUUAGAAGGAAUGUUUUAAGAGGUGGUUGUUACUCGACUUGAAGCUCGAAGAUUUUCUGAGAGUGGAAGAGCAUAGAAUUGGACUAUUGAAUUGAGUAAAUUGAUUGAUAAUGGAACACGAGAUGUUUUAAGAUAUGGCUACAAAUUUUUUAGGAAAUAAUAAAAUGAUUUUUUAUUAAUUAGUUUUUACUAUUACUAUGAAUUAUGAUAAAUUAGUAAUUUUUUUAUACAUCUUUAUAAAUUUGGUAUUUCAUGACAACUAAAAUUUUGUAUAAUUGUUUAGGCAGUAUUCUAUACAAUUACCCUCGAACAAAAACUUUCGUUCAAAGAUAGAAGUGAUUAAUUUCGUUCUUUAUGAAGCUCCUUCAAAUACUAACAAUAAGAAGAGAAAGUUGGUUGAACUUUCUACUGAAUUUGAUAUAUAUCAUGUUUAACAUUUCAAACAAUGAAUUAAUUAAAGCUUAAAUAUGAUUUUGGUCCUUGUAAAUAUGACUCAUUUUGAUUUUUGUCCCUUUAAAAAAACAUUUGAUUUAUACCCCUGUAAAAAAACUUGUUCUACCAAAAUAAUGUUGUACUGAAAUCCCUCAAAUUACAGAGAAGAAGAUCUAGAAAAUAGAAUGAUUUCCGAAAGAAAUUAAGAAGCAUGAGACAGAGGUUAGUUGAACUUUAUAGGAUAAAUGUAUGAAACUAGAUGAAGGGGAAAAGGAGGAUGUUGGAACUUUUGAGGACAUAUAUACAGAUGAGCUUGAGUAAAAUGACAAUUGGUUCUGUUUAUCGCUUUAAUAUAUUCAGCGUCUGUCUUGCUGCAUCACAUGCUAUAACAUUUUGUGUAACAUUGUGUUCACUGCGUACCAGAUUUCAAAGGUAUUAAGAUCAUUAAAUCCAAAAUUUGAUUUCAUAGUAGUAGCCUUACAAGAAGCAAAAUAUGUGAAAACUAUGAAGAUCAAAGAAUUGCAAAGUUCAUUAAAGAAUACAUUAACUUAUGGUGGUU
rnacentral:lncRNA from 1 species